rnacentral:rRNA from 1 species
GACGAACGCUGGCGGCGCGCUUAACACAUGCAAGUCGAACGGUGAAGCGCCUUCCUUUUUGGUGGGCGUGGAUGAGUGGCGAACGGGUGAGUAACACGUGAGUAACCUGCCCCCUUCUUCUGGAUAACCGCAUGAAAGUGUGGCUAAUACGGGAUAUUCUGGGUCUGUCGCAUGAUGGGUCUGGGAAAGAUAUUGUUUCGGUGGGGGAUGGGCUCGCGGCCUAUCAGCUUGUUGGUGGGGUGAUGGCCUACCAAGGCGGUGACGGGUAGCCGGCCUGAGAGGGUGGACGGUCACACUGGGACUGAGACACGGCCCAGACUCCUACGGGAGGCAGCAGUGGGGAAUAUUGCACAAUGGGCGCAAGCCUGAUGCAGCGACGCCGCGUGAGGGAUGGAGGCCUUCGGGUUGUGAACCUCUUUCGCCAGUGAAGCAGGCCUGCCUCGUUUGUGGGUGGGUUGACGGUAGCCGGAUAAGAAGCGCCGGCUAACUACGUG